GACGUCGAGCUAGAUCGACAUGGUGUUCGUCCGGCUUGACAUCAUUGUGACCGAGUGGAGGAGUGGCGAGGCGAAGCAGGUGGCUUCAAGCUCCGCGGUGGAGUCACCUGGGAGGUGGACGGCCCAAGAGCAGCGCCGGGCGUUCGCGCUCAUAGUUUCACUAGUUUCUUCGAGAGUGCGCUCUCAAUGUUGUUUUGAUCCCUUUGGGAUUGGGGUAAUGUACAUAUAUGUUUAGCGAAAA
rnacentral:lncRNA from 1 species